AUGGCCACCGGAGGUAUGACCCUGAAGAGCCUACCGAACGAGCUACCAUUAGACUUCUUGAACAAAAUCACAAAGAACUUCUCCGAUGAGCUACUGCUCGGUCAGGGCGCGUUCGGGUCAGUUUAUAAGGGGAUCCUGGACGAUGGUGGAGUGGUUGCUGUGAAGAAGCUCGCGGAAAAUUCGCCUGUACCACGUGACACAAUAUUCGCGAAUGAGGUUCAGAAUAUUAUGGUGCUCGAGCAUGAAAAUAUCGUCAAGUUGGUUGCCUACUGCCGGGAAGCACAAAACAAAUUGGUGCAGAGCAACGGACGAUAUAUUAUCGCAGAGAUCACUGACACUGUACUCUGCUAUGAAUACUUGCCUAAGGGGAGCCUUCACAAGAAUCUUUUUGGUGAAUCCAGUAGCAUUGAUUGGGAUAUGCGCUUUAAAAUAAUAAAGGGGAUAUGUGAGGGUAUACAUUUUCUACAUACCUUGCCUAGUCCCGUUCUCCAUUUGGGUCUGAAGCCUCAAAAUAUACUAUUGGGUGACAACAUGACACCGAAAAUUGCGGAUUUUGGUUUCUCCAGAAUAUUCGGCCAAGAUCAAACCCGAAAGAACACACGAAGUGUCGUGGGAUCGAUUGGGUACAUGGCCCCGGAGUAUCUGUACAAUGGCGAAAUCUCGGCUCGGUCAAACAUAUAUAGUUUAGGCCUAAUCAUAAUGGAGAUAUCCACGAGAGAGAUGAAUAGUUCUAGCACUGACCAGAAGCAUGCAAGGAAAUAUAUUGAUGGAGUAAAAGAAAAUUGGACACUGGAGAAAAUAAUGUCUGAGUACAUUGAGUUAGAAGAACAUGGUUUCGAUCAAGUAGAAGCAUGUAUCAAUAUUGGUCUACAGUGUGUAGAGAUUGAUCAGAAGAAGAGACCUUCCAUAGAGAACAUUGUCAAUAUGCUCAAUAAGCUUCCAGUGAGCGAGGAGGUCACCCAUUCCAUGUGA
rnacentral:rRNA from 1 species